ensembl:lncRNA
CCAUGGAAACCUGUAGUCUGUGCUGGAAAAUAAAUGACUGGGAAUGUUCCUCGGUGACUAACUUGCUACAAGACGUUAUUCCUGGGACGUCUUUUGACCCGUGUGCACAGAUGAUGAACAAUUUCUCCUGUCUGGGUUGGCUUCUUUGCCUCUUGGUGCAGAAGUUGUCCUGAAAGCAUGCCAGGAAGCUAAGUCAUAGAGAAGUGCUCUGGAACUGGAGUGAGAACGACAUGCUUGAUGAAACAUGUCAAGCUACAUUAUAUUGUCGGUGAAACAGGACAGGAAUUCUGUCUCAGACAUGGGAAAUGUCCUUUCCAAGCACAUAAGGAAGUCUGUUUUGCAGCAGCAGGAAAACAAUGUAUUCAGACUGGAUGAAAGGCCCAGGCAGGUUGACCAAGAACUCUUCUCUUGGAGGAAUUUUUCCAGAUGGCUUUUCCAGCAAUUCUCAUGGCAAUUCCAGAUGGGCCCAUACCGUAAGUUUGGGUUCCAGAUUUGGAUUUGGACCUGACGUUUAUCAGAGUUUAGGAACAGCUGAACCCAGCAUCUGAGGUCAGGCUCUGGAAGAAUUAACAGCCUGCUGCAAAGACCUGGAUCGAGUGGAUCUCCCCCCAUUUCAAGGCAUAGGUUUGGAAAAUACAAGGACUUGAUUUGACCUGUCUCCUAAGGUAUUUCAAUUUUAAAAUCAAAGACUUUUAGUGAAAUGGAAGGCUGUGAUUCUUGUUGUGCCUAAAGGAUGAAAUUGCAUAUGGGGAUCCGAUUGACUCAGUGCUGCUGGAAAUUGUAACAAGAGACAGGAACUGCCUAAAAUGGUUUCCAGCUUAAAUACUUGUCCAAGGUCAAUAAGAGUAUCUGUGAGAAAGUACUGAGAUGUCUGAUUUGUUAUCAAGGACUUUUGCCACAAAAUGGUUCCCUCAGUAUAAUUCUUGACGUGUUCUAGAAGAGGAUAAAAUACCUUAAUAACACCAUACACCUAGGUGCAGAAAGAGCCUUAGACUGCAAAUGCUCUGAGUUCCUCUUCAGGCUACAAAUCCCUCAUAUUUCCAAGAUUAAUGGCUUCUAAUCCGUUUUUAAAUGUUCCAUGUGGAUAGUGAAGGCGUAACUAUCAAAACACUGUAAAAUCAUAAUGUCUGUGUAGCUAUAAAUUACUGUUUGCAAAAUGAGCUGGAGGUCUCCAACUUAUUCCUAAGUGCAAAUUCUUAGAUGGUGUAAAAUUGCUCCAAAAAAUGACUAGGAGCAAGUUUUCUGGCUUUUGCCAAAGAGAAGCCAAUUGUGGGUCUGCCAACUAACUCCAUAGAAGUGUCUGUCUUGGUGACACUGAAAUUGUCCUAAACAAUAUAGAUUGGAUAGAUCAAAAUCAUUUCAUAUCAGAGAUUGAUUGAAAGGCAUGAGGCUUUUUGCAUAUUUCUCUGAUAUGUUUUGUGCUUUUCAUUUGUCAAGUUCUGAACUACUUUGUAUGAGAUUGAUGAUGAAUUCAACUCACACUAAAGUACGAGUUCCAUGACAGAUUGUUUAAAAGAAAAUGUUAUAUUGGCUUAGAGUAUUUUCUUAAGUGAAAUUAAUGCAUGGCACUCCAGAAAACAGGUAAAAGAGAACUUCCAACUCAUUAUUAUUUGAUUUAAAUACAUAUGCAAUGAUUACUUCUAAAGAAAAUAAAAAAAAAAGCAUGAUUUAAAAGAUCA